rnacentral:rRNA from 1 species
CCUACGGGGGGCUGCAGUGGGGAAUAUUGCACAAUGGGCGCAAGCCUGAUGCAGCCAUGCCGCGUGUGUGAAGAAGGCCUUCGGGUUGUAAAGCACUUUCAGCGGGGAGGAAGGCGGUGAGGUUAAUAACCUCAUCGAUUGACGUUACCCGCAGAAGAAGCACCGGCUAACUCCGUGCCAGCAGCCGCGGUAAUACGGAGGGUGCAAGCGUUAAUCGGAAUUACUGGGCGUAAAGCGCACGCAGGCGGUCUGUCAAGUCGGAUGUGAAAUCCCCGGGCUCAACCUGGGAACUGCAUUCGAAACUGGCAGGCUAGAGUCUUGUAGAGGGGGGUAGAAUUCCAGGUGUAGCGGUGAAAUGUGUAGAGAUCUGGAGGAAUACCGGUGGCGAAGGCGGCCCCCUGGACAAAGACUGACGCUCAGGUGCGAAAGCGUGGGGAGCAAACAGGAUUAGAUACCCGGGUAGUC